GAGCAGAGGGUGCAAACGUUGUUCGGAAGUUACUGGGCGUAAAGCGCGUGUAGGCGCCAACUAAGUCGGGCGUGAAAUCCCACGGCUCAACCGUGGAAGUGCACUCGAAACUGGAUGGCUAGAGUCCUGGAGAGGAAGGUGGAAUGCUUGGAUGUAGAGGUGAAAUUCGUAGAUAUCAAGCGGAACACCGGUGGCGAAGGGCGGCCUUCUGGACAGUGACGUGAACGGCUGAGACGGCGAAAAGCGGUUGGGGAAGACCAAACAGGGAGUUAAGAAACCCCAUGU
rnacentral:rRNA from 1 species